CUUUGUUUUGGAGGACAUAUCUUUUCUCACAUUUCCUGACAGACCACCCUUCGUGCCUCAAGUUCCUACUCCUUCGCACCUCGAUGUUGCUAAUCCGACACCAUCCUCCUCCACAGUUUCUUCUCCUCCAUCGUUGCCUGAUUCUCCACCUUCAUCCCCGAUACCUUUCCCAUCUUCCCCUUCUCUGGCGAUUCCUCCUCUUCCCUCCUUUCCUUUCUACUAUUCUCGUUGUUCACGUGUUGUGGAUGAUUCUACUGACGAGCCGUCUACCUCUGAUGUGUCGUCUUCCUCCUCUAAGUCAACUCAUGAUCUUCGUGCCCGACCUCGCCCCCCACCUGACAGAUAUUCUCCUAACCACUA
rnacentral:lncRNA from 1 species